UGGUUCUGGCAUCGAUGAAGAACGCAGCGAAAUGCGAUAAGUAAUGUGAAUUGCAGAAUUCAGUGAAUCAUCGAAUCUUUGAACGCACAUUGCGCCCAUUAGUAUUCUAGUGGGCAUGCCUGUUCGAGCGUCAUUAACACCACUUAAGCUCAGCUUAGUGUUGGGAAUCUACGCGGGGGCAGCUACCCGGGACUUACCCUGUAGCUACCCUGUAGUUCCUCAAAGAUAGCGGCGGAGUCGUGGUAAUCCUCUGAGCUUAGUAGUAAAAUUCUAGCUUUCGAGUAUCCACUUCCCUUGCCGUUAAACACCCUUCUUUUGAAUGGUUGACCUCGGAUCAGGUAGGAAUACCCGCUGA
rnacentral:misc_RNA from 1 species